rnacentral:tRNA from 3 species
GCCCGGGUGGCGGAAUGGCAGACGCGUCGGUCUCAAAAACCGAUACCGCAAGGUGUGUGGGUUCGAGUCCCACUCCGGGUACCA